rnacentral:rRNA from 1 species
UGAGGAAUAUUGGUCAAUGGGCGAUAGCCUGAACCAGCCAAGUCGCGUGAAGGAAGACGGUCCUAUGGAUUGUAAACUUCUUUUAUACAAGAGUAACAUUCGGUAUGUAUACUGACUUGCAAGUAUUGUAUGAAUAAGCAUCGGCUAACUCCGUGCCAGCAGCCGCGGUAAUACGGAGGAUGCGAGCGUUAUCCGGAUUUAUUGGGUUUAAAGGGUGCGCAGGCGGUUGUAUAAGUCAGUGGUGAAAUCUGGAGGCUCAACCUUCAGUCUGCCAUUGAAACUGUAUGACUUGAGUGCGGAUGAAGUAGGCGGAACUCGUUUUGUUGUAGCGGUGAAAUGCAUAGAUAUAACGAAGAACUCCAAUUGCGUAGGCGGCUUACUAAACCGUAACUGACGCUCAUGCACGAAAAGCGUGGGUA